rnacentral:rRNA from 1 species
CCUACGGGAGGCAGCAGUGGGGAAUAUUGCACAAUGGGGGAAACCCUGAUGCAGCGACGCCGCGUGAGUGAAGAAGUAAUUCGUUAUGUAAAGCUCUAUCAGCAGGGAAGAAAAGUACGGUAACUGAGUAAGAAGCCCCUGCUAACUCCGUGCCAGCAGCCGCGGUAAUACGUAGGGGGCAAGCGUUAUCCGGAUUUACUGGGGGGAAAGGGAGCGUAGACGGCAGUGCAAGUCUGGAGUGAAAGGCGGGGGCUCAACCCCCGGACUGCGCUGGAAACUGUACGGCUGGAGUGCAGGAGAGGGAAGUGGAAUUCCUAGUGUAGCGGUGAAAUGCGUAGAUAUUAGGAGGAACACCAGUGGCGAAGGCGGCUUACUGGACUGUAACUGACGUUGAGGCUCGAAAGCGUGGGGAGCAAACAGGAUUAGAUACCCGUGUAGUC